ACAACAGAUUAAAGAAACCACGUGUAUCUACGGUUUACCGAAGUUUUGAUAGAUAGUUGUAAAACGAUUUUAGCCGACUGAGAUAGCAGUAUAGGAUAUUUAACGUGUCAUGAAAUUUAUAGCUUGGAGAUAUAAUAUUAUCAAGAAGAUAAUCUAAGGAGUUAGCAUACGCUGCCUCGUUUACGACUAUCGUGACAACAUAGGCUACAACCAUCCGAAACAGCAGUAGUAUUCUAGUUCAGACUUCAUAACUAUACGGCCCGGUUCGUGCAGAAACAAGUAGGUCGAAGGAAGUCAAAAUUGUAAUCUGAUCGGUGCUGUGUCUCGACUUUUGGUGAAACAAUAAUUGUUUUGGUUGGUUAAACAAUUGUCUCCGUGUCGGAGAAAAAAUUGUCCGUGGAAAUGAAAAUAAACAGGAUAACUUGGAGGAUUUACCACAAGAUUCGGAUGUUCUUGGUGCGAUGUCGUGAUAUUCUGGAAUAUUAGACAAUGUUGAUGAUAACUGGGCAACAGAACUCUGACAGAAAUAAUAAUACAGUAGACAAUUAAAUACACAAUCCUUACGAUACAAAACUGAACAAAGGACAAAACCGAACAAUUUUAAACUGCUAAUCGUCAUGUCAGGGAGUUUGAAUCGCUUGUAAACAACAAUAUUGCGAAUGUCCUUGCAAACAACCAUAUUGCGAAUUUCUUUGCAAACAACCAAAUUGCGAAUGUCCUUGCAAACAACAAUAUUACGAAUGUCGAACCUUUAAAAGAAAUAUCAGCCCCAAAAUGUCCCAGUUCCGAUCAGUAUUGACAAAGAUAUGAUGUUUUGAAAAAUACUUAAUAUUCGACAACUUCUCUAGACGUUAUAAACAAACCAGCGCCGUCUAUAAGUGUUGUGUACAAAUUGUUGAUGGACCUCUUGGUAAUUCGAUUGAAUCCAAACCGGGGGAUUAUCCAAUGCUGAUAUUUUUGUUUUAUUUAUUGAAUUAAAUAUUCAAUUGGCGAACAAUCUGGCGUGUUUUAAGCUGUGAAACAAUUAAAUACUGGUUGCAAAUUUCGCUAAAGGGAGACAAACAAAUAUCGGAGUGAUUAUAGAGCUGUUAGCUACGUGAACAUCCAACCCAGUGAAAAGUGGCAGCAAGAGCACUGAAAAAAAAAACAUACACUGCUUCGUGCACAACACCACCAUAGUGUGCUGUGGCUGUUAAUUUUAAAAUGGAUCCAGUAUAAAGGAACUUAAAUAAUAAAAAUGACUUUAACCAAGGAAAUGAAUGACGGAAAUGUGAAAACCAACUCUCAGUUAAGAGCUAAUCCACUGAACCCCGAGUUAACGGGUGAAACAUUAAGACUGUGUUUAUGGGAAGCUCUUGAUGAAUACCGAGUAACGUCUGGUGUAUUUAAAUGUGCACAAAAAUUAAGUUGUAAUCCUGAAGACGUAAUGUUUUGUGUUUUACCAGAAACUGAAAGUGAGAACAUAGCUAUACAUAUUCAACAUACGUUAAUAAACGCCAUCUGUUUAGAAAACGACAUAAGGAUAGUAAAGGUUAAAAGUGCCAAAAUCCUUCACAGAAGUCUUUGUGGAUUCCAACUCAAGAUGAAAUGCCGCUGUCAUAUAACCAAACGUGCUAUUCCUGCUGAUGUCAGUUGUUUAUUAGUGGAAUUCCCGCCACACCAAUUGAGUAAUGCUGAUAACGCAUUUCUCAUGUUUUAUGAUGACAUCAUAGAAGAAUCAACAGUUAUUCCACGUAUUGAUUUUCCCCCGAAUGAUGUUUGUCCCUAAUGUAUGUAAGACUUUAGUCUCUGAUCGUCACUUGAGGGAUUUUUAAUCCCUUGCAAAAAAUCUUUUCUGUUGGUUGAAACCUUUAUUAGAAUAGAAGUCCAAAAAUGAUUAAUUCCGUUCAUGUUUUAAAGAAGAAACCCUCUGUCGACGAUAUAAACAUAUGGCGAAAAGUCGGCGCCACCUAUAAAAUAUUAAAUCUUUUGGUGGGCCACUGUUUAAACUGCUUGAAUCCAAGCCGGGAGAUUAUCUACCGUUGAUUUUUUGACUUUUUUCCUUAAAUAUAUGUUAAAUAAACGAUCUGAGUACAAUUAAACAAUAUAAAAUUAUACUUUGUCCGAAAAAUGUAAAAUAACAAUCAGCGGCUUUAAGAUGGUAGAUUGUAACAUAGUCGGUCGAAUAUGGAAAGCGAAACCACCAUAGCUUACCUCAUCCGAUGGUGAAAUCGCAGACAAGUUGUCUUUAUUUUAUUAUGACGUAAGAAUUAGCAAAAUAUGGAUAUGUAACUCUAUCUCAUAUCUGGUAAAUUUCCAUUAAAUUUUUAAAAAACAAUUACGAUAUCAGUUUGAAAACAUAUACAGAUAUGAUACUGUUAAACAUAUCUGUAAUGGUUGUGUCACGAAACAUUUGAUAGCUUGCAAACAAAUUAGAACAUUAUUUACCCUUCGAUUCCACAGUGCAGCCAAACUAUUUCAGCUUUCCACAGAAAUAGACACUCUGUAAUUCAGAGAAUAAAACAAGUGUUUUAUGGA